rnacentral:misc_RNA from 1 species
AAUGAUUCCUUAUUACUUAUAUUUUAAUAAUUUUAAGCCAUUGUAUGAUUAAAUAUUUAAAUAUAAAGAGACAAAGCCCACUGGCGCCCAAAUAUCUUGUCAUUUGAAGUCAAGGGUUAUAUAGUUCAAAAUCAAUACAUAGUGUUAUCACAGGCAAAGACUGAAAAAUAUAAAUAUUUCAUCAUCAUAAUUUGUAAAAUAUUCACAAAACAUAAGACAAAUGCGUGCUUUACCAUAGUUUUUACAAAAACAUUGACCACACGACAAUCACAGCAGCUAGAGUCAAAAGGUGGCUGGUAAUGUAAUGGGAAACUAACACCCUCAUUACACUCCUCUCAGCGGUACUGCCCCCAGUGGAGUCCCGUAAAAAGCAUGAAGGAUGGAUUUAAAACUUGAAGCAAUGUAUAAAACUUAUUUUUUUUUUAUUUUUUUUGUGGUCUAAUGUAAUUGCAGCAAUUGAAAAAGCAGAAUAUGAUUUGAUACCUUUCUGGGUCUAAACCGCAAAAAUUUUGAGUCGCAGAAAAUACCUGUUAUAUGGUAGUACAUGUACCAGUUCAUGAUAAAACAUGCUAUGGUAUCUGUUUGUUCAUGCAUUUAAUUUAGACAACCCACAUUCAGAAGGAAAGUUUUUGUAAGUAAAGCAUUCAUGAACUUUUCAGACAGCAAAUUGAAAACAAUUUUGAAAUUAAUAGUAAAAUAAUUUAGGGAAAGGUGGAUUUAUUUUAAAAAUUUUCUUUUUAUUCCUAUUUCAUAUUGUGUUGUUGAUUACUCAAAUUUGAAUAUUUCAGAGCAUAAAUAAUAAUAUUUUAAUAAAAAAUUUUGUUUGUUUGUUUGUUUUGGGUGGGUUUUUUUACAUCAACUUAUUUUUUAAAAGUUUUUGCAUGUGUUUUUUUUAAUCAAAUUAGAAUUUUAUAUUUUAUACUGUAGAUCUGGAUUUCAGCAAUUUUAAUGUGUUCAUUUAUAUAAAUAUGAAUGAUUAGUACUGAUUGUCCAUACUUUUUUUUAAAAAAUUUCUUUGUAUAAUUCUUUUAUAGACAAAACCUUUGUAAAGAAUGUCAGAGUUUAAGUUUUAUCAUUAAUUCUUAAUAAAUGAUUAUUUGUACAAAACUCAAGUUCUGGUUUCCAAGUUGAUGAUGAAUAGGUUGUUACCCGAUGUAUAAACUAAAAUUAUUUUUCUUUGUAUAAAAUCAUUCGUUUUAAUCCUCUUGAGGUGAAAUUUAGGUGCAACAAAAUUACCUGUAAAUAGUUUUUUGGUUUUUCUCUUUUGUACAUGUGUACAUGCUUGUUGAUUUGUUUAAAAAUAUAUUGGACAUUUUACCGAUGCACAUUAUAACUUCACAAUGCAUUUUAAUCAUUCACUUGUUAACUGCAGUAUAAUUUGUACAAUAUUGAUUUAAUUUAAAUGAAUUCAUUAUCCUCCCUUG